UUGCUUCCAGAGCAAAUGCACUAGAACUGGAGUCAUACAGAGAGGGUUGGCAUGGUCCUGCACAAGGAUGUUGUACAAACUCAUUAAGUGUUCUUAACAGAA